GUUCCUUCCAGGACAUCCGAUAAAAUUGAAACGAUACAGAGAAGAUUAGCAUGACCCAUGCGCAAGGAUGACCCGAAAGAGAAAUUUCUUCAAAAUUU